UCCGAGAUUUUACCUGGAGAGAUCUAUGC
rnacentral:piRNA from 1 species